rnacentral:rRNA from 1 species
AUUGAACGCUGGCGGCAUGCCUUACACAUGCAAGUCGAACGGUAACAGGUCUUCGGAUGCUGACGAGUGGCGAACGGGUGAGUAACACAUCGGAACGUGCCCGAUCGUGGGGGAUAACGAGGCGAAAGCUUUGCUAAUACCGCAUACGAUCUACGGAUGAAAGCGGGGAAUCUUCGGACCUCGCGCGGACGGAGCGGCCGAUGGCAGAUUAGGUAGUUGGUGGGAUAAAAGCUUACCAAGCCGACGAUCUGUAGCUGGUCUGAGAGGAUGAUCAGCCACACUGGGACUGAGACACGGCCCAGACUCCUACGGGAGGCAGCAGUGGGGAAUUUUGGACAAUGGGCGAAAGCCUGAUCCAGCCAUGCCGCGUGCAGGAUGAAGGCCUUCGGGUUGUAAACUGCUUUUGUACGGAACGAAAAGCCUCUUCCUAAUAAAGAGGGGUCAUGACGGUACCGUAAGAAUAAGCACCGGCUAACUACGUG